ensembl:lncRNA
GUGUGUGUGUGUGUGUGUGUUAGAGACAGUGCUGAGUGUGUGUGUGAGUCUGUGUGUGAGAGAGUGCUGAGUGAGUGUGUGAGUGUGUGUGAGUGUGUGUAUGUGAGUGUGAGUGUGUGUGUGUGAGUGUGUGUGAGUGUGUGUGAGUGUGAGUGUGUGUGAGUGUGUGUGAGUGUGUGUGAGUGUGUGUGAGUGUGUGUGAGUGUGAGUGUGUGAGUGUGAGUUGUUGUGUGUGAGUGUGUGUGAGUGUGUGUGAGUGUGUGUGAGUGUGAGUGUGUGUGUGUGAGUGUGUGUGUGUGAGUGUGUGUGAGUGUAGCUGAUUAUUUACAGUAGAUGAGGUGAUGCUCCAACAGAGGAAGCGUUAAUCUGUAGUGUAUGUGUUAUGAAAGUGCUGAGUGAGUGUGUGUGUGUGUGUGUGUGUGUGUGUGUGUGUGUGUUAUGAAAGUGAAGGGUAUGAACACGCCUCCGCUGAGCAUCACGUCAUCAAAUACAGAAACAUCUCUCAGUUCUCUCGACAUCUCAUUGUGUUCUACAGCAGUGAGAGUUCAGUGGAAGCACCAGAUCUGUAGAUCCAGAAGGU